GACGAACGCUGGCGGCGUGCUUAACACAUGCAAGUCGAACGGAAAGGCCCUGCUUUUGUGGGGUGCUCGAGUGGCGAACGGGUGAGUAACACGUGAGUAACCUGCCCUUGACUUUGGGAUAACUUCAGGAAACUGGGGCUAAUACCGGAGAGGAGCUCCUGCUGCAUGGUGGGGGUUGGAAAGUUUCGGCGGUUGGGGAUGGACUCGCGGCUUAUCAGCUUGUUGGUGGGGUAGUGGCUUACCAAGGCUUUGACGGGUAGCCGGCCUGAGAGGGUGACCGGCCACAUUGGGACUGAGAUACGGCCCAGUCUCCUACGGGAGGCAGCAGUGGGGAAUAUUGCACAAUGGGCGGAAGCCUGAUGCAGCAACGCCGCGUGCGGGAUGACGGCCUUCGGGUUGUAAACCGCUUUCGCCUGUGACGAAGCGUGAGUGACGGUAAUGGGUAAAGAAGCACCGGCUAACUACGUG
rnacentral:rRNA from 1 species